GAUGAACGCUAGCGGCAGGCCUAAUACAUGCAAGCCGAACGGCAAGCCUUGUAGCAAUACGAGGCCUAGAGUGGCGCAAGGGUGCGUAACACGUAUGCAAUCUGCCCACAACAGGAGGACAGCUCCCCGAAAGGGGAAUUAACCCUCCAUGGGACCACACGAGGGCAUCCGAGAGUGGUUAAACCAAAAGGGGUUGUGGAUGGGCGAUGCGGUUGAUUAGCUGGUUGGUAGGGAACGGCCUACCAAGGCGAUGAUCAAUAGGGGGAACUGAGAGGUUUGUCCCCCACA
rnacentral:rRNA from 1 species